CACGCUAGCUAUUCUCGAAACGUUCGUAGCCCUACGAACUUCUUAAGCCCAUUCUUAACACAUUGGCUACAAUAAACAUUAAGAAUUCUUAGUGCUAAGAACGUUCCGAGAAUAAGGGCCCUUGACUGCAUCCAGAAAGUGUAAACCCA